rnacentral:rRNA from 1 species
UACGUAGGGUGCAAGCGUUAAUCGGAAUUACUGGGCGUAAAGCGUGCGCAGGCGGUCCGCUAAGACCGAUGUGAAAUCCCCGGGCUUAACCCUGGGAACUGCGUCUGAUACUGGAAGGCUCGAGUUCGGGAGAGGAAUGUGGAAUUCCAGGUGUAGCGGUGAAAUGCGUAGAUAUCUGGAGGAACACCGUGGCGAAGGCGGCGAUUCUGGACCGAAACUGACGCUGAGGCGCGAAAGCCAGGGAGCAAACGG